rnacentral:lncRNA from 1 species
UGUGUUUGAACAGUCUUUUGAGAGUGCAGGGUUACUUAUUGUGGUUACUAGUUGAUGAAGAAGUAUUGUUCCUUGAAAGAAGCAUUGUAGUGUUUCUUGAUAUUUUAGUGGUUCGGAUUACGGUUAAUUGAGUGACCCUAACUUGUAAGCUCAUGCACUUAGUCUUUCCCUGAGUUCAAAUUCUCCUAUAUAUAUUUAUUUUGAAAGGAAUUUGCAGAAUAAGUAAAACAACAAUUACAUUUUGGCGCUGCUGCCAGGGAUUGACAAUAGCGUUGAGUGUUACGAAUUAACUACCGAAUGAGUAGAUGGAAAAUAGGAAGCAAAUUCAGCAGUAUAUAAUAAAAGAUUAUGGUUAUUAAGAAUGAGAACAUUAUAGUGAAGAAAACACGCCAAACAAAAGAAAGAUAAGAGAGAGCGCAAGCAAGAAAAUCGUUGUGAAAUAAACAAGAAUGCAAGUUAAAAAAGAAGCAUUGACAAAGUUGGAUUAAGCCAUAGUUACAUGCCUGUUAGCAUAUCCGAGCAUAUUCAGAAGUUGACCAAUCUCUAAUAUUUUAGACAUAUAUACCAUUAAGAAAAUUGCCAAGAGGACUUGUAAGAAAUUUUAUCAACAGCCUAGCAUAUCUCUUAAGCUCGUUAACUGCAAGUGGAAGAAACUUAAAAGAAUUGAAUACUCUAUUGGGUACCUUCAUAAUAGUGGAAACUACCAAUUUUGUAAAAACUAGUUCCGUAGAAUAGCAUAAAUUGCUUGCCAAUAUGGAUCAAUUCAGCAUAUAUCAAAAUCCAUCAUUUUCACCUCCAAUUCAAUCAAUAAACUUAUUUAGGGAUAAUAAUAGUAAAUUGAGGAGGUUCAAAAGUCUAGAAAAGAUAAUUGAAGAAGGUAGUGGUAAUUUUAAUAAGAGAUUAAGCGGCACAUUGUCCUCUUCAAUGACGACAAGUAGUCUAGCAGUUCUAAUAGUAGUCCAAAUGGAUGACGUAGGUGAUUGAACAACCAAUGUGGCUCCAUUACUUAUUUUUAGGGAUUUUUUAGAUACAGAUCUUGAUCAUUAUUUGUUUCAAUUUCUGACAACAUGUGUAGCUAAUAAUGGAAGAACUGAAGAUAUUUGGUAAUGAUGGUUGCCAACAACCUCAAGUACAUGACAUUUGAAUGGUACAACCAUCAACCAGUGGGUCAAUUUUCCAAUUGAGAAGCAUUGAAGAAUGUAUUUUUAAUCCAUUUUUGCCCAAUUGGUUUUGAGGAUCAACUUCGAGAAAGAUUAAUGAGUAGCAAAAUGGGUCCAGGAGAGGUAGUGGAAUCAUACUAUGGUCAUGUGGCAGAUAUACUCCGUAAGUGGCUAAAUCACUAAAUACUAGAGGCUUUUAUAUUAUCCAUAUUAAUCAAUGGAUUGCACCCACCCGAACUAAAAAUGUUUGUAAAUGAGGCUCAACCAAAUACUGUAACUGCAUCUCUUAAUAGAGCCAAGGUUUGGGAGGAAACAAAUGCAUUGGAGUAUAUCUUUAUCACAAUUUGACUUUUGCAUCACGCAUCAACCUAAGAGCCAACAAAGAUUAUUACAUCUAUUAUGAAGACGUUCGUACUUUGAACUAAAAAAAAAUGAGACAACAUAUAACUAACAAUGGAUAAUCUUAAUAAAAUCCAAGAAAUUUCAUCUUCAAAUAAGUAAUAUAUCAAUGCCUAUGGAUUUAUCAUUUUUUAUUAGGUUUGUAAAGUCUCAAAUACGGACCCUCUUUUUUUUAAUAUCAAGCAUCUUAUCAACAACCUUCCUAAAGAAUCUUCUAAAUUCAAGUAUGAAGACAACUUUUUAUUCUUUAAAGAACGUUUGUUCAUUCUAAAAUGGGCAACUUACAUGCGCAUUCUUCAAACACACCAGGACUUCCAUGCAGUCAGAUAAUUUGGAUUCAACAAGACCUUGGAACUUCUGUGUAGAGAUUUUUGGUGGCUUAAAAUGUAGAAGGAUGUUAAGUAAUUUGUACUAUCAUGUGAUACUUAUUCAAGAUCAAAGAAUCCUUGACAUUGGCCAUAUAAACUUCUUCAACCUCUUCCUAUUCUAAGACAACCAUGGUCAUCUAUCUUUAUGGAUUUCAUUACAAAACUUCCACCAUCAAGCUUAUUUAAUAUUAUCCUCAUAGUUAUUAAUUGAUUGACCAAGAUGACACAUUUUAUACCUUUUAAAAGUCAAUUACUGGUGAAGAGACGACAAGACUUUUUAUUGAUAAUAUCUAUUAUUAUCACGGAUUGACAGAUGACAUUGUGUCAAAUUAUGGAUCACAAUUUAUAUUAAGGUUUUGGAAGGCACUCUUUAAGAUUCUUAAGAUUGACAUCAACUUUUCUUCUACCUUUCACCUUCAAAAUAAUAGCCAAACGGAGCGGAUCAACCAAAUUCUUGAGCAAUAUUUGAGAUGUACCAUCAACUAUCACCAAGAUGAUUAGACUUCCUACUUGUCAUUGGUGGAAUUUGCAUAUAAAAAUACAAUUCAUGUAUCUAUAUAAUAAACACCAUUCUAUUCAAAUUACAGUCAUUAUCUAAAGUUGGAUAUGAUAGAGCCUUCAAAAUCGACAAAUCCAACAACAAAGAAAUUUGUCGAACGAAGAUGGCCGAACUUCAAGCAAUCAUGAAGACUAAUCUAGAAAAGACUCAAUAAUAUUAUAAGGUAUUGGUAGAUGAAUUGAAGAAAGAAUAUUCUUCAUUUUAAGUUGGUGACAAAGUGUGGCUUCAUGGACGUAAUAUAAAAACCAACAAGCUUUGUGAUAAGUUGGACUAUCGUAGAUUGAGACCAUUUAUAAUUAAAAAAUAAAUCAAUAAUCUAACUUAUCAUUUAGAGUUACCUUCAUCUAUGAAGAUUCAUUGAGUCUUUCAUGUUUCACUUUUGAAAAGAUAAAAAAAAUCGAACAUAUUAAGUCAAAGAUAACUUCCACCUCUUAUGGUUGAAAUCAAUGAUUAUGUUGAAUUUGAGGUAAAUGAGGUAUUAGAUUUAAAGAUAAGACAUGGAAGGCUUAAAUAUUUGGUCCAUUAAAAUGGAUGUGAUAUCAACGAUCAUAUAUAGGAAUCAAUUGGCAACCUUUUAAAUGCACAAAUGAAGGUUCAAAGGUUCCAUCAACGACAUCCAUCUAGAUCAAAAGUAGCAAAAUAAAGAAUAGUAGCUUGAUAAGAUGGCUUCACCAUGAAGAUUUUUAGUUCUUGGCCUCAUAAAGAAGGGAAAGAGGAAUCCUCUGAAAAGACAAUUUUUUUAAAUGUUUAAAAUAUUAUAAAUCAGUAAUUCAAGUUCACAACCAUAGCUAAUUUAUAUUCUUUUGAUUUUUUCUACUUUAUAUGAUAUAGAUAGUCAAAAGAUAGAUGCCCUUUCAGUCAUAUCAUCUCAACCAAGUAGCUUGCGAAGAUGACCUUGAGAUAAAGAGUUGUCUGAAGUAUAAAGAUGUCAAAGGUUAGUCACUGGUAAUUGUGUUUGAGGUAGAACCUGCCUAUGGAAGAUGUCAAGAAGGAGUAUUUGCAAGAAAAUUCUAUAAUGAAGAUAUUGAAGUUUAUGCUUAAUAACAAGUAGAAGGUUUGGGAUAUAAUUAAUAACUACAAGGGCCUGUGAAUCAUUUAUCUCGUAAGAAAUAAUUAGAAUAUAUAACAAACACCAUGUAAUAGAUCUUCAACUUCUUGUGUAUAUAUUGACUUACUACAACAUUACUUUUUGGAGAUCUUGAAGCUAAAAGAGGAAGUGAUAUCAUGAAUAUACAAUUGAAGAAGGUUCCAAAAGAUUUUAGAAGGUUUCAAAAGAUUCUAAUAGGAUCUAAAAAGGCUCUAGAAGGUUCUAAGAGGUUCUAGAAGAUUCUAGUGGAUUUUAAAAUGGUUCUAGAAGGUUCUAGUAGAUUCUAAGAAAAUUCUAGAAGGUUAUAGGAGAUCUUAGAAGAUUUUAGGAAGCUUUGGAUGAUUUAGGAAGUUGUCAAAGAAAGAACUUAGGCUUGCUUUAUUUCCAAGCUUCAUAAAAACUUUUCAAGAAGUUUCUUAGGACCUAGUAUAUAUAAGAAUCGAGGUUGAGGAGAUCCUCACUCUCAACAACUCUCUUCAAAUAGUUUAGCUAGGACGUUCUUGCCUUGUAUUCAGUUGUUGUUUUAAUGUCAAGCUAAUUCUAUUUCUUGGUCUUGAAUCCUUGUCUUGUAUAUUAUUUCUAACAAUCUUUCAAAGCAUUGUCCUUAUAAUUGUUCCAUUGAUCAUCAUGAAAGAACUCAACCACAAUUUGGACUAAUCUAUAGUCUAUCACAAAACAAGUUGGUUGCAUUCAAGUAAUACAUUGAUAAAAACUUGGCUAAAAAUUUCAUACAUCAUUUUAAAUUUUUAGUUGAGAUUCCUAUCUUGUUUGUAGAGAAAAAAGAUAGAUUUUUGCAAAUGUAUGUAGACUGUCAAAGAUUCAAUAAAAUCACUAUGAAGAAUAAGUAUCUUCUACCUUUAAUUCAAGAUUUCUUGAUCAAUUGAAUCAAGUAAAGAUCUAUACAAAAAUAGAUGUACAAAGAAUAUAUAAUCUAAUAUAUAUUAAAAAUGAAGAUGAAUGAAAAACUACAUUUCAAACAAGAUAUUGGCAUUUUGAAUCUAAUAUCAUGUCUUUUGCACUCACAAAUGUACCAAUUACUUUUCAACAUCUAAUGAAUGAUGUCUUUUGUGAGAUUCUUAAUGAUUUUAUCAAUGACUAUUUGGACAACAUGUUUAAUCUAAAAAUAUACAAGAAUAUGAAGUUCAUGUUCAUUAUGUGUUACAAAAACUUCAAGAUGCAAGAUUAUAUGCCAAGUUAGAAAAGUGUAUAAUUCACACUACUCAAGUUGACUUCCUAAAAUAUAUCAUUUCUAAUAAAAGAUGAAUGAUAGAUCCGAAGAAGAUCAAGACUAUUAUAGAUUGAAAGAUUCCAAAAAUAAUAAAAGAUAUAUAAUGCUUUUUGGACUUUUCCAAUUUUUAUCAAAAUUUCAUGAAGAAUUUUUCUUAAAUUACAACUCUAUUUACAUAUUUGACUUCUAAAGACAAACUUGAGUAAAGUAAAAAAGUAAAAUCAUUGUUUGAUGUUUUAAAAAAUAAAUAAAUUCUACACCAAUCUUAUAUCAUGUUAACUUAUUUAAGGUAUUUUUUAUGGAAAUGGAUGCAUUAGACUUUGCCUUGGAUGCAAUAUUAUUACAAAUGGAAGUAGAUGAUAAAUUCCAUCCAAUAGCUUUUCAUUUUAAAUUCUUUUUAGCAAUUAAGUUUAAUUAUGAGAUCUAUGACAAAGAGCUUCUUGUAAUUAUGGAUUCAUUUUAAGAAUAUUGUUAUUAUUUAGAAGGCAUCUUGAGUCUAAACAUUAUAUAUUACAAAUUAUAAGAAUCUUAAGUACUUUAUAUCGACACAUGUUUUGAAUUAUCUCCAAGCUUGUUGGAGCAUGUCUUUAUCAAAAUUUGAUUUGAAGAUUAUUUAUUGACUCAAAAAAUAACAAGGUUUAUUAGAUAUCAUUUUUAGGCAUUCUUAUCUUCCACCAAAAGAAAGAGAUUCAUCUUUUGAUCAAUAAAGAAUAAUUUUCUUGAAGUUAGAACAUUUUUAACUUUAAGAAAUAAAAUCAACAUUGUCUAUUGAUUCAAUCUUUGUUGAACAAAUUCAAUCAAGUAUAUCUUCUAAUCUUAUUAUUCAUGAUAUUAAAAAUGAUUCUUUUAAGUCUAAUGAUACUUCCAAGUUCAAGUUCAAGAACAAUCUACUCUAUUUCAAAGAACAAUUAUACAUUCUAGAAGGUGGGACAAGAUUACAUGUUUUUUAAACUUAUCAUGACUUUAUAAUAAUUGGAUAUAUUGGAUACAAUAUGAUGUUGGAGUUAAUAUCAAGAGAUUUUUAUUGGCAUCAAAUGUAAAAAGCAGUCAAAGAUUUUAUAUAAUCAUAUGAUAUUUGUUCAAGAUUCAAAACUCCUUACCAUCAACUUUAUAAACUUCUUCAGCCAUUACCUAUUGUAGAACAGUCAUGAUCUUCUAUUUCUAUGGAUUUUAUCAUGCAUCUUUUAGUCUCAAGUUUUUAUGAUUCUAUAUUCAUGGUAGUAGAUUGUUUUACUAAAAUAGCAUAUUUUAUAUUAUAUACAAAAUCUAUCACAAGAAGUAAAAUAUUAUUUAGAGAUAAAAUAGAGCUUAUUUUAGCUCUUAAAGAAUGUAUUAUUUAUAGCCUAAUGCCUAUGAUAAAAAAAAAAGACCUACUUAAAGCAAAAUUUGGAACAUCUUUGAAAUAAUAGGAAUGACAUUGGACAAUACUCCACCUAUUUUAUUACAAAUGGCUUAAGCAAUAAAAGAAACUUUUUUUGUAAUAAGAGAGCCACUAUUAUUUGAGCCUUUCUAAAUAUUUUUUAAAUAUUUAAAGAAUAAAUAUAAAAUUUUUAGAUAUGACCAAAUCUUGAUUAUUAUUUACUUCAAGGCAGUUAUCAAAAUCCGACUUAAAACAGAUCAAUAGGUAGUUAUCCACGGAUGUUAGAAAAAGGGGCCAAUUCCAAUGCCAAUAUUCAGCGGCUAGUUAAUGUCAUUCUAUUACAAGCUAUGCCAGCGAACAUGACAACAAUGUAUGCUCCAUAUUUUCCAUAUCAACAACAAGCGGCAGAGUUACCAAUAAUACCAGCCCCAAAAGAUUCCAAUGAAGCCUUGUUGAACCUGACAAAGAAAAUGGAAGAAAUGGCCGUCAAUAUGGUCAAGGAUAAGAAGAAGAGGCAAAAGCCUACCAAUACUAGGACCAAUUUUUGGUACAAUAAUUGUAAGGGCCACGGUCAUUUGAUAAUAGAAUGCCCUUUAUCCUUACAAAUGAUGGAUCAAUGUAUAUUUUGCAGAGGAAAGCACUUAACAGCUAAUUGUUGGAAUUUGCAAAAGCAACAACAAUUUAGUAAUUAAACCAUGAUCCCACCAACUCACUGGGAAGUCAAUCAAGUUCAAUCGAGAAAUAAAUUCGGAUGGAAUGGAAAGUGAUCUAAUCGAAAAAAUCAAACAUUCAAUAACUUUCAAAGUUCUAAUUUUAAUCAGGGGUCUGCAUCAAAUUCCUAGUAUUACGGAAAGGAGUAGUAGAGAUAUCAGUAAUAUGCUCCUCCGGCGUCAUGGAACCAAGUUCCCUUUAUUCCAAUGGAACAACUAGGAUCAUUUUCUAAUUCUACAUGGAACAAGCUUAGUAGGUAUAUAUCGGUGGAGACACUCAAUAUGCCUGAUGGAGGUACAAGAAGGCUACUUUGUUGUUUCCAUUGCAGAUAGAUUGAUCAUUAAGUGAGUGAAUGUCCCAAUCCUAGAGCCAGUGACAAUUAUGCGCCAGUUUGUGGAAAUUGCAAGCAGUCAAGGCAUACUUAUUAGUAAUGUAAUACUCCGUUCAAUUUCAAGAAUUGAGAUGAGCAGAUUCAAAAACAAGGAAAAAUGAAAGAGAUAAAUCAAGGUCCUAAAGAUUCUCCAGUAAAUUAGAAGGAAAGUGUCCAAGCCGUUCUUACCAAGAGUCAGCAAAAAAAGAAAGGACCAAUUCAACUUUUGGGUGAUCUUAAAGCGAAGGGUCAAUUAAACCUAAUCACGAGGCUAUCUAAUCGAGGUCGUGAAAUAGGUCUCUUACCCAAUAUGAGACCUGACUCGAUUGGGCAACCCAAUGCAGUCUAGAUUACGGAGGCUUUGAUUCUGUUUCAAGCUAUUCCAUUCUCUAUGUCGUUCUAGAAAACAUCCUUUCCAUUGAAAGAUCCUCUCAGAGGCGUGAAUUUCAAGAAAGCUCCGUCUUUUACUUCAAUUCUAAGUCCAGGGCGGAAGAAUAUCUUACCUCAUGGAGUUAAACUCAAACCAAUGAAAAGAAAGAGGACAUUAGAUAUUACCCUAAAUAUAGAAUCCUAUGACAUUUUGAAGGAUCUGGAUACUAUUUGGCCUUCUAUUUUUAUAAAGUAACUUCUAGGGUCACACUAGAGUGCCAUUCUAUAUUGAAUUCAUCGUUAACACAACAUAGGCAAUGUAAUAAGGAAGUUUGUGAAGUCAGUUUGAACCCUGACCUAGGUGCACCAACCAUUGAUGUUUCGAUUGAUGAUAUUAUGAUCUCGUGCAUUCAGGUAGAUGGUGGUUGCAACGUCAAUUUAAUGAACGUUGAUACAAUGGAUGCUUUAGAUUUGAAAUACUUAGUACCCACAACAUUGAUAUUACAGAUGGCAGAUCAUAGCCGAGUUAAACCAAUGGAUAUUUUAUGGAGUGUUCAAACUAAAAUUGUUGAUAUAGCAUAUGAAAUCGACUAUAUUAUCUUUCGGCUAUAAUGUUUGACUUUAUCAUAUCUAAUUUUAUUGGGACGACCUUAGCUUUAUCAAGUGAAGGCCAAGAAUGAUUGGGGUAGGAGUACUUUGACAAUUGACAAGAGUGGAGAUAAAAUGGUAUUACAAAUGUACCGAGUACAUUAUCACGGGGAAUCUCAAUUGCCAGCAUUUGAAUUGACGUCAGAUGAUGAGCUUAGCUCCAAUGAUGAUGUAGUCGCACCAAUUACAGAGGCGCCCAUGGAGGCAGCGCAACACCCUAGAGUGGUGUACCAAUGUGGAGGUCCGGGGAAGUACUUGAUAUACCUGACGGAUUCGAAAAGCUCUGAUUAUAUUAGUAUUGAUUGGAUGACCAAGUAUGAUGUGCACCAUGUUAGUGCCCUGGACAAAGGAUUCAAUACUUUAUACAUGUCAAAUUUAUUGACUGAUUUUCAACUAGCACGGGGGUUGAAAUAAAACAUCACCAUUAUACCUUUAUGUCAAACUAUUAACUUGGUGACCACAGUAGAGCCUCGGACAAUUAAGGUCUACAAAGGUAUUAAGGACCAAGAGUUGACCUACUAGACAAAAAUUUUCUUGCAUCAUAAGUCCGCUUUUGUUUGGACUUAUGCUGAUUUAAAGGAUAUUCCCGCUAAAGUUUGUAAGCAUUGUAUCAUUUUGGAGGAGAACCCUAAACCGAUACGGUGUCGUAUUACGUGCUUUUCUGCUCGAGAAUGCGUUGGGCGUCUGGCUGUAGAAGGUAGUAUGGAGAUUCGUCAAUAGUCGAGCAGUCUAUGAGUUUUUGACUGUUGGAAUAUAAAUGACUGCAAGAAUACACCGUAAAUCUAUACGGAUGCCCUUCGACUGCUUGUCGAAGUCCUUUUUGCCCCAGCCGGUAGGUCUCUAGACGUUACAGAGAACCCCGAACAACCCAAACUGUUAAUCUUCAAUACCGCUUUGUACUUACGAUCUUGUAUCCACUGACUGUCUUGUUAGAUUAACCCAAUAAAUUUCAUUCACUUCGCAUACUCAAUUCUAUAGACACCCUUUUAACUCUUCAUCAUAGACGUAACUCGAUUUCACAAAACAAUCAAGAGUAAUCAAACCCACUUCAUUAAAAAUCCCGAUUCACGAUUACAACAUUGACUUCAGCAACGAUUGCCUUAGUCUUCCCAAAACCCUAUGAAGAAGAAAAACCCAAUUCUUUGUCUUUCCUUCCCCGACCCGAAGCAUGAAGCUAGCUCUCUCUAAUCCCCCUCAAAAAAAACUCUCCCCCUCAACUAUUCUCUCCCCUAACCUUAUCCUCUGAAUUUCUUCAAUCUUCCAUCUUAGAUCCGGAAUUGGCUCCCACCGUCAAGCUUGGAUUCGAAAUUGGCUCUCGUCGUCAAGGCUUAGAUCUGAAAUUGGCUCUCGCCGUCAGAGCUUUCUCUUCCGUUUUUACCUUUAAGAAAUCCAUUUACCGAAAAUAACGUUCCUCAAAACGGCACAGAGAACAGGACAGCCUGAAACAGAAUCAAAACCCCGUAAUCGGGACCACAUUGAGUUGCCCGACCAAUUCAGGUCUCAUAUUGGCUAAGAGUCCAGUAGUAAGACCCGAAUGUCCCCGUAAUUGGAUCAAACUGGUCCUUCGCAUCAGAUUGCCUGAGGCCUGUAGUAAGACCUAGAUGUUCCCGUAAUUAGACUGCAUUGGGUUGCCCGGCCAAUUCAGGUCUCAUAUUGGAUAAGAGUCCAGUAGUAAGAUCCGGAUUGGAUUCUCGAAAUUGGAUCCAAUUGGCUCUUCGAACCAGGCUCACCCGUCACGUGAAUUGGUCCUUUCCCUUCCUGCUCACUCCCGUUAUUGGAAUCGAACGGAGCAUUUCAAUAUGCCCCGGCUGACUGUAACGGGGUGACUGAACCUGGCCACUCAAUAUUUGCACUGGAGUUGGUCGUUGCUUCCAAUAUUCGAGGUAACUGAAUAUUAAUAAAAGUCCUCUUUCUUUAUAUUUUCACGGUAUACUCGUGUUACAACACGACAAUGGCAAAGACAACUUCGCCUUAAUCUUAAAUAUUUCUUCAUGGUGAAGGAGGAAUUGGACAAGCUUCUUGCGGUUGGUUUUAUUUAUCCGGUAUCAAAUAGCGAGUGGGUUUCUCCAAUCGUCAUGGUACUGAAAAAGAAUAGAAAAAUCCGCAUUUGUCAGGAUUUCUAAAAAUUUAAUGCGGCCACUUAGAAAGAUUACUUCCCAUUACCUUUUACAGAUAAUAUGGAUAACAUGUUGUCAUUAUCAUCAAGUAGUAAAAGAAUAGGAGUGGGUCACCAGUUAAAGUCAAUUUGUGGUAUUAUUUUGGGUUGGCUUGAGUGCCAUUUUCUUAUAUUUCUUAUGUUUUUGAGAGUAGUAGUUCCAGUUAAGAGUUAACAGUGAGGAGCCGGUCACAAGUGCCAAUUGAAGAUGUUCCAGAAUGGAUGAGUCAGCAAUAGCAUCAAUUGGAACUCCGUUGUCGUGUUGUGGUUCGGCUACUAUAUGAAAAUAAUGUAAUUAUGUAUUUAAUAUAUAAUUUAUUAAGUAAUAUGGUGAGAGCCAUAUUAGUAGAUUUUAGUUGGUUGUAGAAUAUAAUUUGAUUAUUACUUUGAAAAGAGGUUGUUUAAAAAGAUUACUAUAGAAUUUGUAUAACUUUAAUUUCUUUUUGAUAGUGGCUUUUAAGAUUGGUUUUGGUUGAUAGUAACUUCUAAAUAUUUAGAGUCACCUUUGUUAGACAUUGGUGACAUUUGAAAACUUAUUUUGGUCUUUUAUUUGGUAUUUAGAGCAUAAAUUAUGUAAAUCUUAUAAGAAAAAGGAUUGAAGAAGGAUUUUGGUAGCAAAGGAAGGAAUUAGGGCACCAAUAUAGAUGAAUGGAGAUGAAUAAUAAAAAAUCUCCAUUCCUAUUGGUCAAAAAUCAUGACCAAUGGGCUUUGAGGAGGCUGUCCGAGGCCAUAUUACGGAUUAGGGUUAGUUUCUCGACCCAUUCGAACUUUAAAGACUAGGGUCAGUAGGUUUAGGUUUUUGUUUAAGGUUUUGGUACAAGUUUUGGGUCAUUUGAGGUUUUUAUGAAGAAGUUAUAGGCGCUCAAAGUUAGGGUGUAAGUUUUGGACCUAUUGUCACUCUUUUGGGCAUAACGCACGCGUACGGAUGGAAAUUGAGGAUCGGCGACCGCUAUUGGAGAGAGCACUUUCGCGGCUAUAUUUUUGGCAUAUUGCUUAUUGGAUUCUAAGUUGGGAUGAAGGAGUUAUUGGAUUUUGAAGUCAGAAUAUGCAAUUUAAGAGUAGUAAGUAAACCGAUUUACUAGUGUUUGUCUCUUGAGCUAUAUCUUGAGCAAUUUGACAAGGUUUUGGCUCAAAAUUUCAAGGGAUGUGUAAUUUCAUGUUAGUAAACUUUUUGCAUAAGUUUUAUGACAUUUGGAGUUCGGAUUUUUGAGAUAUUAGGAAAAUAGUUUUCCAGGUGCUUGUAAAUUAGGGUUUGGAGUGUCUGCUAGGGUUUCUUAGAUGCCAGAAGAUUGGGAGUGAAUUUGCGGUUGGAUUUUUUUGUGGUAAAAUUUAAGGAUAAAUUCUACCUAUCUUGUAAAUUUGAAACAAACUGAACGGUUAGAUCAAUAGUUAUGAUUUUCUAAAGUUCAAGGCGAGAAAACCCUUCGCGGGAAAAAUAUAUUUUGAAGGGAUUUUGUUAUAUUUGGAGUUUUAUACAAAAAUAAAGGAGUUUUGGAAGCCAAGAAAAGAAUCAUAUAAAGGUUUAAUGUAUACUCUCUACAGCUAGAUACCUAGUGUAUUCCCAGAUAGCAAAUCAUGCCAUACGACACCGUGACACCCAGAUCUUGAAACUGGAGGUUCAAGUCCAUAUAUUGGGUGACUAUAAUGAAGAUCUAUCAAACCAAUUGAGGAAGGAGUCAAUGGACGGAUUGUAGGAGGAAGAAAAUUUGAAUUUAGAACCAGAAUCAGUGGAACCUACAUUCGAUAAUGCAGCAAAUGAUCAAUAGAGUGGACCAGAAGAAAUAGUAAUUUUGUAGAGUUUUAUUAAGUUAUUUUUAGAUAGGUAACAAUUGUGUAUUUGCGAGGACGCUGCACAGAUAGGACUGGGGCUAUGUAGAAUAGAUAUUAGUUUGUUUUUAUAAGAUAUUGAUAAAAUAGACUAAUAGUCCAUAGAAUAGUCAGUUGAGGAGGACGGAUGGUUGAUUUAGUUAUUAAAAGCCGUUAAUUACAGGAUUACAGUUACAAUCUAGAAAUCAGUAGCAAUUAUAUAGGAGUUGUAGAAGUUAGUUUGAGGGGCCUGACUAUGAUAGUCAUGAGCUAGGGUUAAGCUUGGUGCUACCUCUUUAUUUUCUUUGUUUUCUUUGUUAUUGAAGAGUAAUGGAUAGUUUUUGAAUACUGAGAAGUGAGUCUGUGGAAUAAAUCAGAGAUUGAUUUAUGAGUUAUUAAUUAUGUAAUUGGAAUACUGAAUCAUUGAAUUAUAUGAAAAGUUAUUGGAAGAUUGAUUAUGAUUGAAAGAUUAUAAUUGUUGUUUAUCGAGAGUUGUGUAUGUUUUGGACAGAGAAAGAUUGUCAUUCCAAAAAUUAAGUGGAUCCAGAUUGAUUGAAGUGAAGUCUGUUUUCUUAAUGUUGGAUGGAAAUUAUUGUGUUUUGAGUAGUCUUUUGAGAGUGUAGGGUUGCACAUUGUGGUUAUCAAUUGAUGAAGGAGUAUUAUUCCUAGAAGGAAGCAUUGUAGUAUUUUUUGGUGUUUUAGUGGUUCGGAUUACGGUUAAUUGAGUGAUCCUAACUUGUAUGUUCAUGCACUUAGUCUUUCCCUGAGUUUGAAUUCUUCUAUAUAUGUUUAUUCUAAAAGGAAUUUGUAGAAUAAGUAAAACGACAAUUAUAGAUAUCAUGGUUUAUCAGAUAAUAUCGUGUCGGAUCAAGGAACCUAAUUCGUAUUAAAGUUUUAGAGAUCUUUCUUUGAGAUAUUGAAGGUGGAUAACAAGCUUUCUUUGGCUUUCCAUCAUCAAACUGAUAGCCAAACAAAAUGGGUGAAUCAAACUUUGGAGCAGUAUUUAUAAUGCAGCAUCAACUAUCAGCAAGAUGAUUAGACUGCAUAUCUAUCAUUAGCCGAGUUUGCAUAUAACAACACCUUUUAUGCAUCAAUUCAACAAACACCAUUCUUUUUCAACUAUGGGUAUCAUCCAAAGCUUGAUUUGUUGAGUCCGUCAACUAAUAACAAUCCGACAGUUGAAAGAUUUGUGAAACAACUAUUGGAGCUUUGAACUACAUUGAAGCUUCAAUUGCAAACCGCCCAAGAAGCUUACAAGGUGUUCAUAGAUAAAUUUUAGAAUCAGGUACGCACUUUCAAAUUUAGAGAUAAAGUAUGGUUGCUUUGACAAAAUAUCAAAACCAAGCAACCAUGUGAUAAGUUGGACUACCGGAGAUUGGGACCAUUUUUCAUCCAGAAGUAAAUCAAUCCAGUGGCGUACCAUGUGGGGUUACCAGCUGCUAUGAAGGUAUAUCCAGUCUUUCAUAUUUCUUUGUUGGAGCCUUAUUGAGAGUCAUCUUUUCCUAGAAGAGUGCAAUGUCCGCUACCUAGUAAUGAAAUUGAGAACCAUGAAAAAUAUGAGGUGGAAAAGGUACUAGAUUUGUGGCGUAAGUGGGAGAAAUUGGAAUACCUAGUGCAUUGGAGUGGCUAUGAUAUUAAUGAGCAGACAUGGGAACCAACGAAAAAUCAUAUCAAUGCAUCGCAAAAGAUACAAGAGUUUCAUUGAUGCUAUCCUUAGAAACCUAAGCCCUUUCAAUGAAAGUUUUUUCAGUGAAGUCCCUUCUCCUUGAAGCCUCUUAAUCCUUGGCCUUACAAAGAAGGAUGAGAAGGAAUCUCUAAAAGAUAUAAUUAGAGACUAUAAAUCUGUAACUUGAGCCCAUUCUUCCAUAUUUAGUGCUUAUUUUUUUGGUCUGAUAUGGAUAGCCAAGAAAUAGAUACCAUAUCAGUCAUGUCAUCUCAAUUGAGUAUUUCAUGAAGACGAUCCCAAGAUGAAGAACUGCUUGUAUCACGAAGAUGACGGAAGAUACCUAAUAACAGGUUGCUAGUGAUUGUGUUUGAGGUAGAACCUGCCUAUGGUGAUCUUUUCGAAGGAGUGUUUACAAGGUAUUUUUACAAUGAAGAUAUGGAAGUUUAUGCUUGAUUGAAAAUCAAAGGCGUAAGACACUAUCAUUGGUUACAAGGACCAAUGAACUACUUAUCACGUGAACAACAAUUAGAAUAUAUUACAGACACUAUGUGACAAAUUUUCAACUUCUUAUAUUGGUACUAAUUCACAAUAAGAGUGCUUCUCGGAGACCUCAAAGCUAAAAAGGGGGUGAUAUCAAGGACAUACAUUAAGAAGUUGUAGAAGAUCUUAGAAGGUUCUAGAGAAGCUUUGUAGUAUGUAGAAGCUACUUGAGAAGUUUUCAAGCUCGUGGAAGCUGCUUGAGAAGUUUUCUAGUUUGUAGAAGCUACUUGAGAAGCUUCUUAGCUUAUAGUACAUAUAGGAAUCGAGAUUGAAGGGAUCCUCAGUCUCGACAAUAUACCUCUUGGAGCUCUAGCUCACCUCUUUAGUGUUGUUUUUGUACUCAUCUAAUUAAUCUAGUUCUUAUCAAUUCUUCUUGAGCUUCUUGUUUAGAUUUUUAGUCAAUAUUCCAAAUUUGUGAGACAAAGAUAUACUCUAAUGGACUUUGCGACAAUUCAAAACACAUGUUGACAUAAAAUAUUCAAGAUUCUUGUGAUCCAUAUAUGCGGUGACUGGGCUAGAAGUACCUUCUAGAUAAUGACGCCAUUCUUGAAAUGAAUCCAUGAUUACAAGAAGUUCUUUGUCGUGAAUCUUUUAGUUGAUCUCGACAACUGAAAUCUUUUUGGAAUGAAAAGCUAUUGGAUGAAGUUUAUCAUCUAUUCCCAUUUGUGACAAUAUGAUAUCCAAAGCAAAGUUUGAUGCGUCUGUUUCCAUAAAAAAUGGCUUAGAAAAAUCAACGCGAUGCAAGAUUGAUGUAGGAACAAAAGCUAUCUUCAAAGCUUCAAAUGCUAUUUCUGCUUCUUGAUUCCAUUGAAGUUUGUCUUUACAAAUCAAAUGUAUAAGUGGAACUACAACUUAAGAGAAGUCUUUGAUGAAGAUCUCAUAGUAGUUGGCAAAUCCCAAAAAGCAUUAGACAUCUCUUAUCCUUUUUAGAAUCUUCCAAUCCAUAGUAGUUUGAACUUUCUUAGGAUCCAUCAUAAGUCCAUUAUUUGAAAUGAUGUAUCCUAAGAAGUUGACUUGAGUAGUAUGAAAUAUAUACUUUUCUAUCUUGGCAUAAAAUCUUGCAUCUCUUAGUUUUUGUAGCACACGACGAAUAUAAAGUUCAUGUUUUUUUUGUGUUCUUAGAAUAGAUUAAGUUGUCGUCUAGGUAAUUGACAACAAAAUCAUCUAAAAACUCCCAAAAGACAUCAUUCAUUAAAUGCUAGAAUGUUGUUGGUGCAUUUAUAAGUCCAAAAGACAUGACGUUGUAUUCGAAAUAUCCAUACCUUAUUCAAAACGCAGUCUUCCAUUCAUCUCCUUCUUUGAUGCGUACUAGAUUAUAUGCUCUUCAUAGAUCUAUUUCUAUAUAGAACUUAGUUUGAUUCAACUGAUUAAAGAGUCCAGAUAUCAAAGGUAGUGGCUACUUAUUCUUGAUGGUGAUUUUGUUGACUCCUCAAUAAUCGACACACAUCCACAAUGAUCUAUCUUUUUUCUUCACAAAUAGAAUUGGAGCUCUUGUUGGAGAUUUGGAAUGGCGUAUGAAGUUCUUGGCCAGAUUUUCUUCAAUAUACUCCUUGAGCUCAGCCAACUCAUUUUGUGAUAAAUUGUAGAUUGGUCCAAAUGGCGGUUGUGCUCUUUCUUGAAGGUCAAUUGAGCAGUCAUAGGAAUGAUGUUCUGAAAGAGUAUCCAUAUUUUUCUUCUCAAAUACAUCUUAAAAAGCUUGAAAUUGGCUUGGAAUGCCACUUGAAGUCUUUCUACCAAUAGAAAUAGGUGUGGCAUAAAUGACACAAGGUGAUUCUUCUUUUGUAGCAUGCAAGAAAGCUUUUACAUCUACAAAUACAAGUUUAAUUGUACUAGACUUAUGACUUUCUACUUGAUUAGCUAUGCUCUUAGUUAUACUUUUAAAAAAAUUAAGACUAUAAGAAGUUUAAUCUAUUUUAGGGUUAUAUUUUUUUAGCCAUGAUAAAUCUAAAAUGACUAGAUUAGAAAGAAAUCUAAUGAUAUUAAAUAUUACAAAGCUACUAUGACUAUUAGUUGCUACUUCUAUAGGAAGGGUUUCAUAAGUAACAUCUCUUGAAGACAACGGACCACCAUCUAUGACUUCUACAUGAACAGAUUUAAUCUUCUUUAUUAAAAUUAUGCUAUGUCUUUUAGCAAAUUUUUCAUCUAAAAAAUAUAUUGAGGCUCCUAAAUCUAGCAAGGCUGAGACUUUGUGAUGUUUAGGUCUUAGAAUAAUAUUUAUCGUAAAACAAGGAGAGGGUUAUGAAGAGAGAAUAUGACCUUCACUAGGUGUUGUACAAGGUUCCAGUCGCACGAUCCCUAUUGUAGUUAGACAAAUUUAUUUUUUGACAUGUUAUCUUCUUUGAUCGUUGUACUCUUCAUUUUAUGGUUGCGUUGCUUCUUUCGACAAUGUUGAGCAAUGUGCUUGGAUUGUCCACAAUAUAAACACAAUCCUUCUUGACGACAACAAAUCUUUUCUUGCUCAGUAAGAAGUUUGAAAUAUAUCGCAUCAAUUUGCAUAUCUUCUAUUUCUGAAUGUAUGUGUUGAAGAGAUGUUGGUGUUACUAUUGAAUUAUAGUAACGUUGAGGUCUACUUAUACGGUUCUCAGAUCGAAAUUCAAAAAGAUGAUUGUUACACUUCACAUCAAAGUCAAUUGCUUGACUCAAUGUUUGAGGAUCAGAUAAGUUGAGCAUUAAUUUUUUUACCUCAUAUUGUAAUCCAUAUUGAUUGAUUGCCUUAUUACAAAAUACGGAUCUUAUUGGUUGCAAUACAAAUUAGAUCAUGUUUUCCAUACAUGGAUUGAAACUCUACCAAAAAAGCCUCUAGAUUAUCCAAUAUUGGAUCUUAUCAUUCAAGAAAAGAUGAAAACCAUAAUAAUGCUGAACCUGAAAAAAGCGUACCAAUGAAUCUAACUUGCAAUCCUAGAGUGGAAUAGCUUUAGGGUUGAAGUUCAAUCACAAGUUGUACUUGAUUGAUAAAUCCUCUAAACUUUGAUCUGGUGCCAUCAAACUUCUUGGAUAGGGCAAUUCUAGGUUCUCAAACAUUGGAAGGGUGUUCCACCAUAGGAGAAGGGAUAUGAUUUGGUGCACAUAUUGAAGUAGCUCGAAUCAUUUCUAUAUCUUCACUUUCUGCCAAUCUUGUUGCUCCUUGUCGUAGUAAAUUGAGUUAAUGCAUUGGAAGCAUUAACUCCUUCAAUUGCUCUUGCAUUUGUGCCAUUGCAUUCUUCAUUUCAGCAAGUUUUGCUAUGAUAAUACUUAGAAAAAAAAAAAAAAAAAAAAAAAAAAAAAAUCUAAUAUUGCUCAAGACAAAUAGAUGAAAGGACUUGAGAACAAAGAAAAUAUUAAGGACAAUAUCAGUUUAGGAGAGGGUAAUCCCCAACUUCUAAUACGCUUAUGUCUUAUUAAGAAAAAGGGAUAAUCUACUCUUAAUGAAGAUUAGAUAAAGCUUUGAUAUUAUAAGUGUACUCUUGUCAAUUUGUCAAGGAGCAGAACUUGAUAAAGAUAAAUAAACAAGUGAAACUUCUCUCAAAGAAAGAUGAAAAAAUAGAAAUAACUCAAUAUAUAUAUAUUAAGAAAGAAACUAGAAUGGCUAUUGCCAAAAGACAAGAAAACUACAAACCCUUGAAACUAGACUAAAAGCAAGAAAGAAGUUGACAAGAGUGAAGAGGGCUUCACUCUUGUCUCUAUAUAUACUAUCUAACUAGGGACUAUAUGGCGAUGUUCUAUAAGACCUCUAAUAUGUGUUGACUUUGUAGGACACAUGUCUUGACUUACAAGGUAAGUUUUUCUAUGUGUGGGCCAUAUAAUUAGCUUGGUCUUCAAGCUAACAAUAUGUGUGGUACAUGGCCAACUUGUUGAUCACGUUUCUAAUCCAAAAAGUCAAUUAAAGACACCUAUAAAGUCAAAGUAGCAUCUAUAAAGCUUCUAAAAAGCUUCCAUAUCAAAUAUUAUAGAAUUAAUUUAUUUUUAUCUACUUUUACUUACUUCUAACUAUAUAUACAUGUAAUUACAUGCUUACAUGUGUAUGUUUGUGACAGCCAUACAUCUUGCAAUUAAUUUUAUUAAGAAUGCUUGUAUUUGGACUUUAGGAUUAAAAAAUUAAAGGCCUUCAUAGGUGAUGGAUUGAAUAUUGGUGUUCCACCGCACCUUGGCUUGUGUAGUACUUCUAAUUAUGUUAAAACAGAGAUAAUUUCUUACAAGUACUUUGAUUUUUUUGAAGAUUUUGGUCUGUAUACUUGUAAAUAAGGCUAUGUGAAUUGAUGCCAGAAUGACUUAGUUGAUGAUCAUAAUUCUUCUAACUAUGAAUAGUUGCUUUGAACCUCAUUUGAUGACUUGUGAGAUGAUUUGGUAUAGGAUUUUUAUUCUAUUUUCUAUUAAAGGUGUAUCAAAGCUAAUUAAAAAUCUAAGAUAGCGUAUUGAAGAGCCAAGUCUAUUUUAGUUGAGUUCUUGUUUGGAAACUCCACUCUAUAUUGCAUGGUCUUAGGGAAGCCAAUAUAGUUGUUAUUUUAUUCUAGUUGAUUUUUGCCCUAAAGCCAUAUAAUACAGAUCUAAUAUCUACAUUGUAUUUUGUAAUUUUUUAUAGUCACCUUUUAGGAAUAAUGAAGUGUCAUCACCAAACAUUGAAGUAGUGUGAUGUGUUGAGUCAAGUAAAGUGAGUCUUUCCAUCCUAUGUUUCGAGUUGUCUAGCAUAUAUCUUAGAGUAUCCGCUACAAAGAAGAAUAGAUAUGGUGCUAGGGAGUAGCCUCGAUAUAUUGAUCUUUCUAAUCAAAAGAAUAUACCUUAUUUCCUAUUGAUAGCUAUCAGGGAUUUGGCUUUAAUGUGAAGUACUAUUAUCUAUUUCAGCUCGUUAUGUAAAAAAAUUACAUGUUUCAUGGUUUAUUGGAGGAAUGUCUAACUAAUUCUAUUGUAAGCCAUCUCAAAGUCCAAUAACAUUAACACUAGAUCUUGGUUGCUUUAUUCUAUUUAUGCCAUAGCUUUAGUUGCAAGGAAAACGUUGUCAUAUAUGCAUGUGCCCUUGAUAAAUCUUGUUUGAGAUUUUUGGAUCGAUUGAGGUAAGUUUGUAACUAGUUUGUUGGCUAAGACCUUGGCAAUUAUCUUGUAUAUUGGGUUAAGAAGAGAGAUUGGUUGAUAGUUGGUGAUUAGUGAGAGAUCUCUUAUUUUUGGGAUGAAUAAUAUAUUGCUUGUAUUUAUUUUUUUGGGAAGGUAUCCUUUGAAGAAGACCUCUUUGAUAAAUUCGACCAUGUAGAGUCCAAUAUCUUCCCAACAUGCUUGAAAGAACUCAGCUGGCAUCAUGUCGAUCUCGGGAGCUUUUUUUCAAAGAAGUUCCUUCACUACUGCCUUGACCUCCUUGGUUGAGAUUUCUUUAUGUAAUGCGAUGUUUUGGAUGUGGGUGACCAGUUUGGGCAUACUGGAUAGACAUAGCGACCUGGCUGAGGUGUUUGUUUUUGUCUCCUUAUCCCGGGUGAAGAGAUUUUAGUAGUAUUCUUGAGCAUAGGAGGCCAUGUCCUGUUGUUGUCAUAGUAUACGGCCGCCUAUAUUGAUUCUUUAAUGCGGACCUUCUUAUGUCUAGGGCCAUGGUGGUGGAAGAAGUCAGCGUUACAUCUGUCGCCUACUCUAGUCCACUUGGGAGAUACUAAGGUGAAUUGUUUUUCUAGCCUCUUGGGUCGUAUUUGUUGGAUUUGGUAUUGGGCUAACUUGAGUUUUUCUUGAGCUGUUGGAUCGUUUCAAUUUAGUUGUAGGAGCACUUCGGCUUCGAGGAGCUGUGUGAAUUGGGUUUGAUGUAGGUGCUUCCAGGUGUCCCAUUUGUUCUCGACGAUUUUGGUGUUUUUGGCUCUGACUGUUGCUAAGGCAUUCUGUAUGCGAUGGCACCAUGAGUGGGAUGAAGAUAGGAUUAUGGCAUGUUGCCAUGCUACCGUAAGGAGUUUUUGGCCAAUUAUUGUGUCUAAUUGUCAUUUGCCACAGAAUUGGGUUCUGGGAAGAGGGCGAUGGAGGGGUUUAAGCAUUGUAAAUAUCGGAGCGUGGUCUGAGAUAUUGGAUUAUGUGGACCAGAUCCCAAUCAUGCCACCACAUUCAUGUAGUUUUUUGCUAAGGUAGAACCGAUCUAGACGUGUAAGGACAGUUCUGGGGGGUGGUCUCCUGUUAUCCCAAGUAAAGGCCUUGGUAUUAAUUUUACAAAACUCGUCCAUGUGGAAUAAGGCUUGGAGUUGUAGUCUAAUGAGGAGAUUAUUCCAGGAUGCGACCUCUCUGAAUCCGUGUCCCAAGUUAUUGUUGCCACCUUGUUUGUCUUCAAGGGAUUCAACGAAGCUGAAAUUGCCUCCCAUGAUCCACAGAGCAGGUGGGAGGGGGUGGUCUGCUGUUUGUUGCCAUAGUCUGGUUCGUGGUCCAGUAUGGUUAUAUCCGUAGAUGUUGAUGAUUCCUAAUCGCGUUGUAGGGGUGAGUUCAAUGAUUGCGUAUUGGGCUCGAUCUUUGACGAUUACACCAUAAUCUUGUAGCGUGGGUGUGAAUUUUGUAAAGAUUAGGAUCACUGUUCCUCCUGUUAGGCUAUCAUCCAAUGCAGAAUAGGUUGCAGCAUUCCAAAGGAGGGGGCCUUUCAGAAAUUCUAGUUGUGCGGAUUUUGUUAAGCAGUCGUUGUAGGUAAAUCUGUAUUCUUGUAAUAGUAUAACAUUCGGUUUGGGGUGUAUGUUUAGCAUGAAAUCUCGCAGUUUGCGACGUUUUUUCACGCUCGACAGUCCUUUUCUCAAGCAUUGGAUGUUGAAUGAGGCCACCGUUUGGCCAUCAUUCAUGGAUUGGAGAUGGAUUGUCCGACCUCAGUUUCUACUCAAAGCGAGAUGGGGGGGUCAGAAAUGAUAUCGUGGUGGGUUCAGCCUGUUGUGGGGUCCCGAGUUUUGUUGUCCAAUCCACAUAGGUUAGUGAGUGAAGGCGUUCUAAAAUGGGGCACUGGGGAUUUGCAGAGAUAAGGGCAAUGUUUUCCAGUAUACGUUGCUACUCUGUUUGAUCUGGGUGCAUUGGUCAUCAAAGGGAAUAAUGACUAGUUAGUCGUUUAUAGGUAGGUCCUCUGUAGUUUUCCAUUCCAAUAUCCAGAGUGCAUCUGUCCAUUGUCUCAAUGGAUUUGGUCCAUUAUUGGUAUUAGUAAUUAUCGUUCUGAGUCCUUGCAUUGUGGUGUUAACUAUGUGUACACGUGCAGAGGUUUUGGACUAAUCAUGUUCGUUGAGCGCGUGUUGUAACUGUGUUUUGUAGAGAGGAGCAUCAUUGUACUUGUGGACCAGAACUUCCAAGGAGAGGUCCAGAGCAACUCGUACCAGCAUCAGAGUGAUGAUUCCUUGUGAAGUGUUGCCGUAUGGCUGUUUGAGCUCUAGUGCUUGCCAAAAUUUAGGAUGUGUUAGUGGGGAGUCGUAGGAGAUUGGUCCUUUGAGUAUUACCGGUUGUGUGUUCACCUGGGGGUGGUCUUGUUUUUUCCUUUCGAUCCAGACAAAUUGUGGUCUCUAGUUCAAUGCCGUGGGGCUUUUGUGAGGGCUUGACCGGCUAUUUGUCGAGGGCUCUUGAUCUGUCACUGGGUUGAUCGCGCUGGAGUUGUCUGAGUGGGGAGGGUUGUUGCGUGGUCUCUUCCCGUUUUUUUUCUUGAUGAGUGGGCAGUUUUUAGCAUGGUGUAAGGUGUUGCGACAUUGGUUACAUUGGAUUGGCAGACCACUGUAGUCGAUGAUAUACUCUCUUUUGCCACCUAGAAAGUUGGGUAAGACCAUUGAGUAGAGUAGUUUUGUGAUGUCGUCCACUAAUAUUCGUACUCGGGGGCCUGAGACUUUGCUUCUGUAGGUUUCGGAAGGGUCGAUCGCUAUCACCUUGUUGAUGCUGCUAAAUGCCUCCGUGAGAAGUUGUGGGGUGCGGAGUAGGCAUCGUAGUCCCCUAAGUUGGGCCCAGAUUGGGUAGGUGACAUGUUGGGAAGUUGACGCAGAUUUGGGGUCGAAAUCAGCUCUCCAUGUAGAGAAUAGGAUGUCUUGAUUAUUGAAUUUGUAUCAUUUGGUUAACGUUUGUGUUUUGCCGUGUUCACUCUUGAAAUGAAUCUCAAAGUAGCCUCCUCUUAGCAUCGUUAUUGAGGAAUAUGAAGUAUGAAGUACGUAAGUGGCCCAUUCAUGUAGAAUCCUUGGGCCGGGGUUCUUCUUCAGGUAGCCUAUAAGAAUGUGUCGCUCUUCAUGUGCGAUUUGUUCCUGGAAUUGUUGUAGUGUGUUCAUGCUAAGGGUGGCUUUGAUUGUGCUAUGGGCAGGUUGCAGUGGCGAGGACGUUGUGCCAGGUGGUGUAGGUGUGAAUGUAUUACCGAUGGUGGCGGGGUCGAUGCUAUAGGCUUGCAGAAGAGUCUUUGCGUCCGGCUUCAGUUGUUCUGAAAGUCGCUAGAGCUCUUCCUCCACGGUAUAUUGGUGUAUUAAUUCAAUUUGUGGGUUUUUCUGAAUAAAUGCUUCGGCUGCGUCCCAUUUUGCUUGAAUGAAGGUUCUAAGGUUUUCCAUCGUGUAGUAUGCUAGGUCCAAUGCCUUCUGUAUGAUCAGUGUGUCUAUGUUGAUGUUCGGAUUGAUCAUGGUGUGAGGAGUUGGGUUGGUUUCUGUGUGGUCCAGCAAUCUAAUGUCGAGCGAGUUGGGGGUGGGAGUUUGAUCUAUAUCGAGGGGUGAAUCCCCGUAGGUUGUGUUCCCUGUUGGCCCAAUCCCAGAUGUGUCCUUGGUAUCCUUGUGUAAUGCCGAGUGUGACUCUGUCUCGUUCGGAGAGUAGUUGGGAGUUUGUUGGUUAAUAAACGGAGGUGGUGCAGUCCCAAUUUCUCCGAAAUUGAAGGUCUCUUCUAAUCCAGUUGUAUUUGUGCCCUUGGUCCUAUUCGCAGUGGGAUUUGAAUCCACACCCGUUCAGAUCAGAAGUUUAAUCCGGCGCCUCAGACCAUCUCGGCCACAUGAACUUACUGAAGGGGAACUCGUUCCUUGGCGCCUUAUCAAUUACCAACACAUUGCUUAGCUUUUGUUGAUGUGAAGUGGAUGAUUUUUCUUCAAAAUAUUUAAUCAUUGUAGAGGAUUUGUAUUGUUUACUUCAAAUGCUUUAUGAUUUUUGUUAAAUUUUAUACGCAUUUAAAAAAUAAUGGAUUAUUUAUCUAAUUGAGAUUAGAAAUGAAUCCAAAGAUGGAAACAAUAAUAAUAAUUUUUUAAAUAUAAAAAAAUAAAAGCCAAAAGAUAAAUCAAAGCUGUUCUUGACAAUUGUGAUGUUUUAACUAUCAAAAAAUCUAAUUUCUCUAAAUUUUAAUUUUUGGGGAUUAUAAUGUCGAAAUUUUAAUGCAUUAAAAAAAAUGUAUUGAACUCCAAUUCAAAAUAAUCUUUUAUUACAGUAUUAAAGAAGAUUUAUUGAUGAUUUUUACACUUGACUUAUUUGUACUAAUUUUUUUGGUUUUUAUAAAAUAUAUUUGUUCUGAAUUUUUUUAAAUAUCUACUGACAAUAUUGCUGAAAUUUAAAAUAAAUCAAGGGUUUUUUAUAAUAUAAUUUAAACCAUAAUAAGAAAAAUAAGUACUUUGUAAUAUAACAUUGUAAAUAUUUAUGGAUAUUUUAAAUAAUACAAUAAUAAAAUACUUGUCUUAAAU